UCUCUGUCUCAAGAAAAAACAAGCAUGUUCAUGGUAAGAGUUUUGGUUUUUACAUAUACGUUUAUUCAAAAACUUAAGAAGAAACACGUCGGAGUACUGCUUAUAAUUCAUCAGGUAAAUUCUAAAGGUUAAUUACUUACACUUGUUCCAGCUUAACAAUUCUAAAUGGACGUCUCUAUUUUAAUGUUUAUUGAUGUGUCUUUUCUUUGUCGGUUUCAUAUAAAUCUGUUGUAUAUAGUAAUGAUGCGGAUAGGAUUCAUAUGCUGAUCCCAAAUUGUAGUCUAACUUGAUAUAAAAUCGUGAUUAUUCAGUCCAAUGAGUUUGUUUGUAUGAGUAUGCUCUCAAUAACUGCAUGUCGUUUAUGCAGCAAGACCAACUUAGCAGGAACUUAGAGAAUAUGGUGCUUGGCUGAUUGGCUCGUCUCUUUCAAGCACUUCGCCUCUACAGGAAAAGAAUACUCGUGGACUUAACUGAGAAGUAAAUCUUGAGUACAUGACUUGAAGUACGAAGAACAACGAGUAUAGUUCAUUUUACCGGUAUAAUCUGAGCAGAAUCUCCUUCAAUGCUGGUGAUGCACGUUCAAAACGCGCCAUGCUUUGGAUGUUGAUCUUGAAAGUGGAAUGAACUUCACAUGAAGGUAUGUAAAACAAGCUUUUUUACUGAUGAGUUGUUGUGGUAGAAGUAGUUCAGUUUUUAUAUUGAGUAAAAUGCAAGAUUCUAAUUUUGCAAUCAUUUUUAGUGUAUUUUGAAGCAAUUUAUUCACCAAACAAGACAAAUGGCACUACAUUUUUUUUUUGUCUUCAGUUCAUAUGAUCAUUAUCUGUCGAUGCUUGUCUUCAAAGAUCAGGUAACAGAUGGAAUAAUUAAUCAUGUUAUAUAUGAUUCUAUGCACUGGUUACUGAACUAUUUAUUUUUUUUCACUCGGUGUCCGGAGUUCACAUUGGAGCCCAACUAAAUUCAGAUCGUGCACUGCAAGGCCCAUCCGGGAAUAACGCUCCUAACAAGAUUUUCUCCAUACUCAAAGCUCGGACUCGAGACUUCUGAUUAAGAGUGAAACACUCUACUAGUGCACGGUUAUUAAACCAUUAUUGAUCAUUAUUAUAUGGUAUCCACUUCACUUGGUUGUUGCAUGUGUGCAAAAUCAAUCAAGAAGAGAUCUUAUUGUAUAAUUAAGUUAAUGAAUUUUUGGAACUACUUAUAUAUUUUUUAAAAAAAAAUAUUGAUUUGUUGGAUC